GACGAACGCUGGCGGCGUGCUUAACACAUGCAAGUCGAACGGAAAGGCCCUGCUUUUGUGGGGUGCUCGAGUGGCGAACGGGUGAGUAACACGUGAGUAACCUGCCCUUGACUUUGGGAUAACUUCAGGAAACUGGGGAUAAUACCCGAUAGGAGCUCCUGCGGCAUGGUGGGGGUUGGAAAGUUUCGGCGUUUGGGGAUGGACUCGCGGCUAAUCAGCUUGUUGGUGGGGUAGUGGCGUACUAAGGCUUCGACGGGUAGCCGGCCUGAGAGGGUGACCGGGCACAUUGGGACUGAGGUACGACCCAGAGUGCUACGUGGGGCAGCAGUGGAAAAUAGUGCGAGAUGGGCGGAGGCAGGGUGGAAGGACGCCGGGUGGGAGAGGACGGCUUUCGGGUUGGAAACCGCUUUCGCCUGUGACGAAGCGUGAGUGACGGUAAUGGGUAAAGAAGCGCCGGCUAACUACGUG
rnacentral:rRNA from 1 species